rnacentral:tRNA from 2 species
CCCUUGGUAGCUCAGCUGGAAGAGCGCAAGACUGUAAAUCUUGAGGCCAUCGGUUCGAUUCCGAUUCAAGGGA